rnacentral:rRNA from 1 species
GACGAACGCUGGCGGCGUGCUUAACACAUGCAAGUCGAACGGAAAGGCCCUGCUUUUGUGGGGUGCUCGAGUGGCGUACGGGUGAGUAACACGUGAGUAACCUGCCCUUGACUUUGGGAUAACUUCAGGAAACUGGGGCUAAUACCGGAUAGGAGCUCCUGCUGCAUGGUGGGGGUUGGAAAGUUUCGGCGGUUGGGGAUGGACUCGCGGCUUAUCAGCUUGUUGGUGGGGUAGUGGCUUACCAAGGCUUUGACGGGUAGCCGGCCUGAGAGGGUGACCGGCCACAUUGGGACUGAGAUACGGCCCAGACUCCUACGGGAGGCAGCAGUGGGGAAUAUUGCACAAUGGGCGGAAGCCUGACGCAGCAACGCCGCGUGCGGGAUGACGGCCUUCGGGUUGUAAACCGCUUUCGCCUGUGACGAAGCGUGAGUGACGGUAAUGGGUAAAGAAGCACCGGCUAACUACGUG